AUUUAGGGUUUAGGAUUUGGUUUAGGGUUUAGGAUUUGGUUUAGGAUUUAGGAUUUGGUUUAGAGUUUAAGAUUUGAUUAGGAUUUGAUUUAAGAUUAGGAUUUGUUUAAGGUUUGAUUUAAGAUUAGGAUUUGGUUAGGAUUUGAUUUAGGAUUAGGAUUUGGUUAGGAUUUGAUUUAGGAUUAGGGUUUGAUUUAGGAUUUAAGAUUUGGUUAGGAUUAGGAUUUGGUUAGGAUUUGGUUUAAGAUUUAGAGUUUGGUUUAGGAUUUAGGAUUUGAUUUAGGAUUUAAGAUUUGAUUAGGGUUUAAUUUAGGGUUUAGGAUUUGAUUAAUGUUUGAUUUAGGGUUUGUUUAGGAUUUGAUUUAGGAUUUAGGAUUUUAUUAGGGUUUUUUUUAGGAUUUAAGAUUUAGUUAGUUUUUGGCCUAAAGUUUGAAUGAAGUCCAAUAGGAUUUUAACUAGGGUUAAUUUAAGAUUGAAUUGAGAUGUAUUUGAGAUAUAUUUGUGAUCAUUCUAAUAUUUCUUUAAGAUUUUUUAUUAUUUCUUUGUAAUUCCUUUGAGGUUUCUUUGAAUUUGAUUAAAGCUUGCUUAACAUUGUUAUGGUCUAAUUAGAGUUUAGUUAGUAUUCUAUUAGAGUUAAGAUUUUAUUGUUGCAAUUUCCAUUUUAUCUUC
rnacentral:lncRNA from 1 species